rnacentral:ncRNA from 2 species
AUCUUAUCAAGAGCAGGUGGAGGGACUAGCCCGAUGAAACCCGGCAACCGGCGGUAUGACCGCACGGUGCUAAUUCUUGCAGAGAUAUAAGUUUGAGAGCAUUAUUUUAGACUUAAUAUCUGCUGACAGAUGAGAG